rnacentral:rRNA from 1 species
UACGAAGGGGGCUAGCGUUGCUCGGAAUUACUGGGCGUAAAGCGCACGUAGGCGGUCUUUUAAGUCGGGGGUGAAAUCCUGGAGCUCAACUCCAGAACUGCCUUCGAUACUGGAAGACUCGAGUCCGGGAGAGGUGAGUGGAACUGCGAAGUGUAGAGGUGAAAUUCGUAGAUAUUCGCAAGAACACCAGUGGCGAAGGCGGCUCACUGGCCCGGUACUGACGCUGAGGUGCGAAAAGCGUGGGGAGCAAACA